ensembl:snRNA U6 U6 spliceosomal RNA
GUGCUUGUUUUGACAGCACAUAUGCUAAAAUUGGAACAAUUCAGAGAAGAUUAGCAUGGCCCCUGUGCAAGAAUGACACGCAAAUUCAUAAAGUGUUCCAUAUUGUU